rnacentral:rRNA from 1 species
UGGGGAAUCUUGGACAAUGGGGGCAACCCUGAUCCAGCCAUGCCGCGUGAGUGAUGAAGGCCUUAGGGUCGUAAAGCUCUUUCGCCUGUGAAGAUAAUGACGGUAGCAGGUAAAGAAACCCCGGCUAACUCCGUGCCAGCAGCCGCGGUAAUACGGAGGGGGUUAGCGUUGUUCGGAAUUACUGGGCGUAAAGCGCACGUAGGCGGACCAGAAAGUUGGGGGUGAAAUCCCGGGGGCUCAACCCCGGAACUGCCUCCAAAACUAUUGGUCUAGAGUUCGAGAGAGGUGAGUGGAAUUCCAAGUGUAGAGGUGAAAUUCGUAGAUAUUUGGAGGAACACCAGUGGCGAAGGCGGCUCACUGGCUCGAUACUGACGCUGAGGUGCGAAAGUGUGGGGAGCAAACAGGAUUAGAUACCCUGGUAGUCCACACCGUAAACGAUGAAUGCCAGUCG